rnacentral:rRNA from 1 species
CCUACGGGAGGCAGCAGUGGGGAAUAUUGCACAAUGGGGGAAACCCUGAUGCAGCGACGCCGCGUGAGUGAAGAAGUAUUUCGGUAUGUAAAGCUCUAGCAGCAGGGAAGAAAGAAAGUCCGGCGGACUGUGGACGGGACCAGACGAAGAAGACCCGGCGAACGACGUGCCAGCAGCCGAGGUAAUACGAAGGGGGCAAGCGUUAUCCGGAUUUACUGGGGGGAAAGGGCGCGUAGACGGCAGCGCAAGUCGGGAUUGAAAUCCCAUGGCUUAACCAUGGAACUGCUUUGGAAACUGUGCAGCUGGAGUGCAGGAGAGGUCAGCGGAUUUCCUAGUGUAGCGGUGCAAUGCGUAGAUAUUAGGAGGACCACCAGUGGCGAAGGCGGCUUACUGGACUGUAACUGCCGUUGAGGCUCGAAAGCGUGGGGAGCAAACAGGAUUAGAUACCCGAGUAGUC